ACCAGGGAUGAUAAUGGGCCAAGAACCAAAGU
rnacentral:piRNA from 2 species